rnacentral:rRNA from 1 species
AUACGGAGGGAGCGAGCGUUAAUCGGAAUUACUGGGCGUAAAGCGCGCGUAGGCGGCUUUGUAAGUCGGAUGUGAAAGCCCUGGGCUCAACCUGGGAAUGGCAUUCGAAACUGCAGAGCUAGAGUAUGGUAGAGGGAAGUGGAAUUUCCGGUGUAGCGGUGAAAUGCGUAGAUAUCGGAAGGAACACCAGUGGCGAAGGCGACUUCCUGGGCCAAUACUGACGCUGAGGUGCGAAAGCGUGGGGAGCAAACAGGAUUAGAAACCCGGGUAGUCC